rnacentral:rRNA from 1 species
ACGCGAAAGGCCCCUUCGGGGGCCGAGUAGAGUGGCGUCCGGGUGAGUAACACGUGAGUAAUUUGCCUUCGGGUGGGGAAUAACAACCGGAAACGGUUGCUAAUACCGCAUAAUGCAGCGGCACCACAUGGUGACAGUUGUUAAAGCGGGGGAUUCGCAAGAACCUCGUGCCUGAAGAGAAGCUCGCGGCGGAUUAGCUAGUUGGUAGGGUAACGGCCUACCAAGGCCACGAUCCGUAGCCGGCCUGAGAGGGCGGUCGGCCACACUGACACUGACACACGGGUCAGACUCCUACGGGAGGCAGCAGUCGGGAAUUUUGGGCAAUGGGCGAAAGCCUGACCCAGCAACGCCGCGUGAAGGAUGAAGUUUUUCGGAAUGUAAACUUCACAAGAAUGGGAAGAAUAAGUGGGGGAUAAUACCCCCCAUGAUGACGGUACCAUUUGUAAGCUCCGGCUAACUCCGUGCCAGCAGCCGCGGUAAUACGGGGGGAGCAAGCGUUGUUCGGAUUUACUGGGCGUAAAGGGCGCGUAGGCGGCGCAACAAGUCACUUGUGAAAUCUCCGGGCUUAACUCGGAGCGGCCAAGUGAUACUGUCGUGCUAGAGUGCGGAAGGGGCUACUGGAAUUCUCGGUGUAGCGGUGAAAUGCGUAGAUAUCGAGAGGAACACCUGCGGCGAAGGCGGGUAGCUGGGCCGACACUGACGCUGAGGCGCGAAAGCCAGGGGAGCGAACGGGAUUAGAUACCCCGGUAGUCC